GCACCUGUAGUUCAAUGGAUAGAAUACAAGAUUCCGGUUCUUGAGAUGAGGGUUCGAUUCCCUCCGGGUGUACAA
rnacentral:tRNA from 1 species